rnacentral:rRNA from 1 species
UUGGAGGGCAAGUCUGGUGCCAGCAGCCGCGGUAAUUCCAGCUCCAAUAGCGUAUAUUAAAGUUGUUGCAGUUAAAAAGCUCGUAGUUGAAUUUCGGGAUCAAUAUAUUGGUCAUGCUUAGGUAUGUACUGGUAUUAUUGAUUUCUCCCUUCUGAAGAACCAUAAUGUCAUUAAUUUGAUGUCAUGGGGAAUCAGGACUGUUACUUUGAAAAAAUUAGAGUGUUUAAAGCAGGCAUUUUGCUUGAAUACAUUAGCAUGGAAUAAUAAAAUAGGACGGCAUGAUUCUAUUUUGUUGGUUUCUAGGAUCACCGUAAUGAUUAAUAGGGAUAGUUGGGGGCAUUAGUAUUCAAUUGUCAGAGGUGAAAUUCUUGGAUUUAUUGAAGACUAACUACUGCGAAAGCAUUUGCCAAGGAUGUUUUCAUUAAUCAAGAACGAAAGUUAGGGGAUCGAAGACGAUCAGAUACCGUCGUGGUCUUAACCAUAAACUAUGCCGACUAGGAAUCAGACGAUGUUAAUUUUUUAAUGACUCGUUUGGCACCUUACGGGAAACCAAAGUGUUUGGGUUC